rnacentral:tRNA from 1 species
CAGAAAAUAGUUUAAAUAAAAUUUUAAUUUUGGAGAUUAAGGAUAGAGAUUUCUUUUUCUGA